UGAGCAAUCUGCCCUUCACAUCGGAAUAACCAUUGGAAACGAUGGCUAAUACCGAAUAUGACUUCGGAUCGCAUGAUCUGAAGUGGAAAGCUCCGGCGGUGAAGGAUGAGCUCGCGGCCUAUCAGCUAGUUGGUGUGGGUAAUGGCCCACGAAGGCGACGGACGGGUAGCCGGCCUGAGAGGGUGACCGGCCACACGUGGGACUGAGACACGGCCCAGAUCCCGUAACGGGG
rnacentral:rRNA from 1 species